AUACGGAGGAUCCGAGCGUUAUCCGGAUUUAUUGGGUUUAAAGGGUGCGCAGGCGGCCAUUUAAGUCAGCGGUUAAAUCGUGGGGCUCAACCCCAUUCUGCCGUUGAUACUGGGUGGCUUGAUUGCGGUCGAGGUUGGCGGAAUUCGUUGUGUAGCGGUGAAAUGCAUAGAUAUGACGAAGAACACCGAUUGCGUAGGCAGCUGGCCAGACCGCAAAUGACGCUCAUGCACGAAAGUGCGGGGAUCGAACAGGAUUAGAUACCCUGGUAGUCCGCACAGUAAACGAUGAAUAUUUGUUUUCGGCGAUAUAAUGUCGGAGGCAAAGCGAAAGCGAUAAGUAUUCCACCUGGGGAGUACGCCGGCAACGGUGAAACUCAAAUGAAUUGACGGGG
rnacentral:rRNA from 1 species